AGUAACGACGUGGGCGAACCUAGCCUUAUACAGGGGAGUAACAGCUGGAAACAGCUGCUAAUACCGCAUAAGCGCACAGCGGCGCAUGACGCAGUGUGAAAAACUGAGGUGGUAUAAGAUGGGCCCGCGUCUGAUUAGCUGGUUGGGAGGGUAACGGCCUACCAAGGCGACGAUCAGUAGCCGGCCUGAGAGGGCGGACGGCCACAUUGGGACUGAGACACGGCCCAGACUCCUACGGAAGGCAGCAG
rnacentral:rRNA from 1 species